rnacentral:pre_miRNA from 1 species
GUCAUCUGGGAAUUUUGCUAAAAUGCAGAUUCUGUGGCUCUGGUGCAGGCCCUGAGAUUCUGCAUUUAUUACAAAUUCCCAAGUGCUGCUGA